AAAUGAAUAGACGGGGGCCCGCACAAGCGGUGGAGCAUGUGGUUUAAUUCGAUGAUACGCGAGGAACCUUACCAGGGUUUAAAUGGGUCUUGAAUAUUUUGGAAACAUAAUAGCCGCAAGGCAAGACUCAAGGUGCUGCAUGGUUGUCGUCAGCUCGUGCCGUGAGGUGUUAGGUUAAGUCCUGCAACGAGCGCAACCCCUAUGAUCCGUUACUAACAGAUAAAGCUGAGGACUCAGAUCAGACUGCCGGCGUAAGCCGCGAGGAAGGUGGGGACGACGUCAAAUCAUCACGGCCCUUACACCCUGGGCCACACACGUGCUACAAUGGCCGGUACAGAGAGCAGCCACCCCGCGAGGGGGAGCGAAUCUACAAAACCGGUCUCAGUUCGGAUCGCAGUCUGCAACUCGACUGCGUGAAGCUGGAAUCGCUAGUAAUCGCGCAUCAGCCAUGGCGCGGUGAAUACGUUCCCGGGCCUUGUACACACCGCCCGU
rnacentral:rRNA from 1 species